GGCUUUGGAGCGGAGGAUCUUACG
rnacentral:rRNA from 2 species